rfam:Daucus carota subsp. sativus cultivar DH1 chromosome 6, whole genome shotgun sequence.
CGCGAUGAUGAGGAAUGAAUAAUCUCGUUAAUCUGAUUGAUUUGUGAGGAUAAUCUCUAAUCCAUUUCAGUUUCUGAGC